UACGUAGGGUGCAAGCGUUAAUCGGAAUUACUGGGCGUAAAGCGUGCGCAGGCGGUUGUGCAAGACAGAUGUGAAAUCCCCGGGCUCAACCUAGGAAUUGCAUUUGUGACUGCACGGCUAGAGUGUGUCAGAGGGGGGGUAGAAUUCCACGUGUAGCAGUGAAAUGCGUAGAUAUGUGGAGGAAUACCGAUGGCGAAGGCAGCCCCCUGGGAUAACACUGACGCUCAUGCACGAAAGCGUGGGGAGCAAACAGG
rnacentral:rRNA from 1 species